CGGGUGAGUAACGCGUGGGUAACCUGCCUCAUACAGGGGGAUAACAGUUAGAAAUGGCUGCUAAUACCGCAUAAGCGCACAGGACCGCAUGGUCUGGUGUGAAAAACUCCGGUGGUAUGAGAUGGACCCGCGUCUGAUUAGCUAGUUGGAGGGGCAACGGCCCACCAAGGCGACGAUCAGUAGCCGGCCUGAGAGGGUGAACGGCCACAUUGGGACUGAGACACGGCCCAG
rnacentral:rRNA from 1 species